GAUGAACGCUGGCGGCGUGCCUAAUACAUGCAAGUCGAGCGAAUGGAUUAAGAGCUUGCUCUUAUGAAGUUAGCGGCGGACGGGUGAGUAACACGUGGGUAACCUGCCCAUAAGACUGGGAUAACUCCGGGAAACCGGGGCUAAUACCGGAUAACAUUUUGAACCGCAUGGUUCGAAAUUGAAAGGCGGCUUCGGCUGUCACCUAUGGAUGGACCCGCGUCGCAUUAGCUAGUUGGUGAGGGAACGGCUCACCAAGGCAACGAUGCGCAGCCGACCUGAGAGGGUGAUCGGCCACACUGGGACUGAGACACGGCCCAGACUCCUACGGGAGGCAGCAGUAGGGAAUCUUCCGCAAUGGACGAAAGUCUGACGGAGCAACGCCGCGUGAGUGAUGAAGGCUUUCGGGUCGUAAAACUCUGUUGUUAGGGAAGAACAAGUGCUAGUUGAAUAAGCUGGCACCUUGACGGUACCUAACCAGAAAGCCACGGCUAACUACGUGCCAGCCGCCGCGGUAA
rnacentral:rRNA from 1 species